UAGACCAGUGUUUCUCAACCUUUUUGAUACCAGGGACCAGCCUAAACCGUGUGUAAGCCUUCCUAAACCGUAUCCACAGACUGAUCGUUGAGAAACACUGCACUAGACGAUGCUGCCUGCCCCCAUAGACAACAGAAUAAUCUGCUAAAAGCAGUCAUGGAAUUCCCAGCAUUUGAGCAAUCCCAGAGUAGACAAAUACAGCUGCAUCUGACGCAGACACCAUUGCUGCUGUACAGCAGGGAGAUGAACUAGACUAGUGAUACUCAGCCACUGAGUUGAUCAAUUUGACAGCCCUGGAGAUCGAAGUGAUCUACCUACAGAAAAAGCAAAGCAUGGGCAGUAGUGGGGCAAGCUUCCCCCAAUGUGCUUCAACCCUGAUGUGAUGAGGCUAACUCUAAGGAAAGAGGGAGCCACACCUCAAACAGAGGCAAUCAGUGUCUAUGGCCAAGAGGAGAGCCACAAGAAAAUUACAGUGUAGCAUAUCACAUCUUGAAGAAUCCCAUAAUGCCUGACUGAGCAGAUACUUCUGGUCUGGAGAGAAGAAAUGGUAGCAGCCACUAAGUAUUUUAACUAUCUGGGAAAUUCAAAUCAAGGUCCAAUUUGCGACGUACAGAGUAAAUGGCAUCAUACUAAACGUACCUACCUUGGAUGGAUGAGCAGACCCUCCUGAAAUUUGAACCUAUGGCUCCUGAGAGUCUAUGUAUUGUUAGACCAGAUGAUGAGACUACUAAGCCCCCUUCCUUUUGCCAUCUUUGAAAGGUGAAUGGGAUAACUGAAUCCUGAACUAGCUAUUAUAGAGAAGCUGAGGUACGGAGAGAUGAAGUUUCACAAGUCCAUGGUAGACCCGAGUACAGAAACCUGGUAUUCUGAUACCAGUCCAGAAUGCAAAUAUCAGAUGUAACAAAAGCGAUGCAGAAUGUUUGAAAUCACACUGCAGAGCCAGCAUGCUGCUUUCCUGGACAGCGAUAGGACAGGACAGCCAAGCAGUUACACUAACCUGAGCAUAAGAAACAAUGUGGUAUCGAACGAGCUCCAGACGUUUCCAUGCACCCUGCACAAGUGAACAAAGGACUUUCUUUAACCCAAUGCAGAUAGCACAAAUCUGAUCUGCUUUAACACAGCACCAAUAAAAUAAGGAUAUUUUUAUCAUUUACCUGAGUCUUGAAAAUGUCUGUAUUAUCAGUGACACUCCCCUGAAAUCCAAACAGUGCUCUCCUCAUUACAUCUAGUCUGUCCUAGAGGUUACUCUCAUUUGGUCUCUGUCCUUGUGCUUUCACCCGCAUUUCCUUUUGGGGGUGACCUUUUAUUUGCUGUGCAUUUCCCGCUAGAUGUUCCCUAGGAUCAGUGCGCAGAGGAAACCAUCCUCCCCCCACCUCCACAUUAAUCUUCCCUUUCCAUCCAGAUGAAGUGGGAAGUCUUGGGGAGGUGCUAGUGAGGGACAUGUAUCGUCUCCCAGCUCCAGCAGCAGUAAAUCUACCCAAAACAUAAUGAAGCCUGAAGCUGCAUUAACUCCUAUUCAGUGUCUCCUCUGUGCUGUGAAACCUCCCUUUAAAGAGUCUCUGGGGUCAGCUCUCAGGGAAAGCCUUGUCACUAUGGUUUCAAUGGAGCCAUGCUACCAGGAAAUCGGAAUGGGAGCAAGGGGCUGUAGCCAGUGGGGGUUCACAAUGUUUCUCUGUAUGGGACAGAAAAUCUGCACCCCAACCCUUGGAUGGAAGAAUUCAGCAGAUCAUACUUUGUUUUCACAUUUGCGAGGAGAUGGGCUGAUCCAGCCUUUUCUAUCAGGAACUUGUAGGACAGUGAAUUUUCCAGCCUUCGCUUUGGGAGCAAGUAGAAGGGGAGAGGAUGGAUUAAGGGGGUGAGGACAUUUUUGCCUAAACAUGAAGAUAUUAGCAAAAACCACGAGGAGGAUUAGAUAAAUCUAGUUUCUGAAAACGUUAUAUUUUCUUGUUCCUUAGUGUGAAAGUUUCACUUUAAAGCUGCUUAGAAGCAUGGAAAUUACCAUCUGGAUCAGACCCAAGGCCCAUCUAGCCCAAUAUCCUGUUUUUGAUGCCUCAGAGAAAGGUGUAAGAACCAUGCAGUUGGCAGUUGUGGUGUAAUCUGUCCCUCAUAUGAGCCUGGGUGGUAUUCAGUCUGCAGAGAGCUUAUGGCCCUUUGGGAUUUGCCAUAGUGAUGAUGAUUACAUUAGCUCUUUUCCUGAUUGACGAUAGAAAAAGAUUGACUUAAACCCAGAAGUACAAAAGCUUAGUUUUAUCAACACCAAAGCUGUAAAAGAUACCUACUAUAUAAGAAUCUGUACUGAUCUGCAUUAUCUGAAGAGUUAUACCUCUGUAGAAAGCAGGUAGUCCAGUGCUCCAUCUUUCAUGUUAUCCAAAGCAUUGUUGUUUGGAACAAAGAUUGUGUAAGGUCCACCUUCCUGCUCCAAGACCAGUCCCAGAAUAGUUUUCUGUUUUUUAUUUAAAAAAAAGAAAAAAAGGGAAUUACAUACUAGUUUUGUUGUGCAUUUAAAAAUAGCUUUAUAGAAUUCCACUUCUAUAUUCUUACCUCUAACAUGGAUCUAAAUCGGCUGUAUCGUCUAUUGUCUUGAAUCACUGUCAUUAUGGUCUCCUAAAAAUGUAUUUUUAAUUUGUUACAUUAUAGUUAAAUUAGAAAUGAAGUAACUAAUACAUUUAAAAUGUAUUCAUUGCAUGAUCAUAAGU